ACGCUGCUUUCCAAGAUGGCGACGGAGGGAGGAGGGAAGGAGAUGAACGAGAUUAAGACCCAGUUCACCACCCGGGAAGGUCUUUACAAGCUGCUGCCGCAUUCGGAAUACAGUCGGCCCAACCGGGUGCCCUUCAACUCGCAGGGGUCCAACCCCGUGCGCGUCUCCUUCGUCAACCUUAACGACCAGUCUGGCAACGGCGACCGCCUCUGCUUCAAUGUGGGCCGGGAGCUGUACUUCUACAUCUACAAGGGGGUCCGCAAGGCUGCUGACUUGAGUAAACCGAUAGAUAAAAGGAUAUACAAAGGAACACAGCCUACAUGUCAUGACUUCAACCACCUAACAGCCACAGCAGAAAGCGUCUCUCUACUGGUGGGCUUUUCUGCAGGCCAAGUCCAACUCAUAGAUCCAAUCAAAAAAGAAACUAGCAAACUAUUUAAUGAGGAAAGACUAAUAGACAAAUCCAGAGUAACCUGUGUAAAAUGGGUGCCAGGUUCGGAAAGCCUUUUCUUAGUAGCUCAUUCCAGUGGUAAUAUGUACUUAUAUAAUGUGGAACACACUUGUGGUACCACAGCUCCACACUACCAACUACUUAAGCAAGGAGAAAGCUUUGCAGUUCAUACUUGCAAGAGCAAGUCCACAAGAAACCCUCUCCUUAAGUGGACAGUGGGAGAAGGUGCCCUGAAUGAGUUUGCUUUUUCCCCAGAUGGGAAGUUCUUAGCAUGUGUGAGCCAAGAUGGUUUUCUCCGGGUAUUUAACUUUGAUUCAGUGGAGUUGCACGGUACAAUGAAAAGCUACUUUGGAGGACUACUAUGUGUUUGUUGGAGCCCAGAUGGAAAAUAUAUUGUAACAGGUGGAGAGGAUGACUUGGUGACAGUUUGGUCUUUUGUGGACUGUCGAGUAAUAGCUAGAGGCCAUGGACAUAAAUCAUGGGUCAGCGUUGUAGCAUUUGACCCAUAUACCACUAGUGUAGAAGAAAGUGACCCAAUGGAAUUUAGUGGCAGUGAUGAGGAUUUCCAAGACCUCCUUCAUUUUGGCAGAGAUCGAGCAAAUAGUACGCAAUCUAGGUUAUCAAAAAGGAACUCUACAGAUAGUCGCCCAGUAAGCGUUACAUAUAGGUUUGGCUCAGUAGGCCAAGAUACACAACUCUGUUUAUGGGACCUUACAGAAGACAUUCUUUUUCCCCACCAACCCCUCUCCAGAGCAAGGACACAUACAAAUGUCAUGAAUGCCACAAGUCCACCUGCAGGAAGUGGUGGAACCAACCCAGGAAGCAAUGGAAACAGCAUCACAAUGCCUGGAAAUUCCGUGCCCCCGCCUCUUCCACGGUCCAACAGCCUUCCACACUCUGCAGUCUCAAAUGCCGGCAGUAAAAGCAGUGUCCUGGACGGUGCCAUUGCCUCUGGUGUCAGCAAAUUCGCAACUCUCUCACUACAUGACCGGAAAGAAAGACACCACGACAAAGAUCACAAGCGAAAUCAUAGUAUGGGACAUAUAUCUAGCAAGAGCAGUGACAAACUGAACCUAGUUACUAAAACCAAAACGGACCCAGCUAAAACUUUGGGAACUUCCCUGUGCCCCCGAAUGGAAGAUGUUCCCUUAUUAGAGCCUCUUAUCUGUAAAAAGAUAGCACAUGAAAGACUGACUGUGUUAAUUUUUCUUGAAGACUGUAUAGUCACUGCUUGUCAGGAGGGAUUUAUUUGCACAUGGGCAAGGCCUGGUAAAGUGUAGUGGUUCCUGGGUUCUUGGAUCUGAGAGGAAAAGAGCUCCUAUAGAUUCUGAAGAGGUGUCAAAUUCUACAUUCCAAUUGGUAUUUGCUUCCUGGUCUUGUCUAGAUUAAAGGAUCUAAGUUACAGGAACCUAACUUUAAGGGUUUAUUGUCAUCCCAAAACCAGGCCAAUUCUCCAAGUGGAACUGUAGUAUAGUCAUCCCACUACUUCGAACAAAACCCACCCCAGGACAAGGAAUAAUGACAAGGGCACCAAGAGCUGCUCUCUUCAGCCACAGAGCAUCGACAUUUCUAAAAUGGCCGAAUGUAAACCUGGAAUUCUGGGAAUCAUAGUGUGGUACAGAAGAGUAACAUCAUAGGUCCUUUUCCUGUGUUGUUUCCUUGGCUGCUUACCCAAAGAAUUUUCUGUUUUAAAGUAAUUCUUUUGGUAUUGCAGUUAAAAUGAGAAACUAAGUUUUCUUCUUUUUAAAGUUCAAUGUA